ACGCGCUGCCGGGCUGGGAGCCACGGCCGCUCAGCCGCGCCGACUCAGUCUCACCGCAUCCGUGAACGCGUCACAGGGACCGCUCGUUUCCGCCACAAACGCCCGCGAUCUCGAGAUUUAUAUAUAUAGACGUGAUAUACAUAUAUAGACGUGAUAUAUAUACAUAUGCUCUGCAAGUGAUUUUGCGAUGGUCGGAUUUUCAGUGUGAGUGUUUUUCGGAUUCGUUGGUCGUUUAGAGGUGUUAGGUUAAGGUUACGACGAUGUUUUACGAGGUAAAGGACAAGAGAAUCGAGAGCGCGACACAGCAGACUAAAUGGUGGGUGACGGCUGGGUUCUGCGGGGUCGUUGUCACUGGGGCCUUCAUUGGUGUUACACUAUGGCUAGGCGCGAGGCAGCAAAACACCGAGUCCAUCAUCACCGAUAGGAUCCUUAACUCGGGCGAUAAUUUUAAUUCUUUCAACUCCAAGUUCGAUGUUCUGUCCAGGCCAGCGCCUCCUCCAGUCGUCCCCGGCCCGGCCGAGUUCCCGAAGGACCCUGCGGAAGAGCGGCGGCCGCCAAGCUUCCCGCCAACGAACAAAAAGGCCAAGAUAGAGAAGGUGGUCGACUUCAUGAACGGCGAGACGGUGUCGACAUCGACCGAGGCCCCGCACUUCCCCACCUACGAGCAGGGCUUCAAGCCAAUCGUCCCGAACGUCCGGAAGCACGUUGUCGAUUCCACGGAAUCGGAAGAGCUCGCUGAAGGUCCCGACCCCAUGGAAGACAUCUACCCUACCGGCGGGAAGACCGACCAUCAGCCCGUCGCCAAGAAAUCCGAGGCCAUCUACCCCACCCACGAGUGGAUCGAGGAGGAGAAGGUCCACGAGGUCGAUUCCCUCUACAAGCCCGACACCCCCGUCGCCCCGAAACACAACUACAAAUUCGACGAGGUCUACGAGUCGCAGAUGACCGAGAUGGAGUCCCGCCGCGAUAACCUCAAGCCAGCCGAUCAGCGGGACGGGAAGUUCAAGCUCAAGACGAUCCCUGCCUUCACGUACAUGAAGGAGAACAAGUAUGCGGAGGCGGACAUCCCAGGGGCCGUCUCUGAGGACUACCCUUAUUACUAUCAGAAAGACCAGGAGUUCCACGGCCCUAACUACGACGGCGUCGCCCCCGAGGACGCCGAGUCACCCCUAGUCGCGUUCCUGAAGAAGCGGCUCAAGGACCUCAACGAGUGGUUCACCAAGAACUCCGGCGCGACCUCCCCGGACUGGAGCGACCUCCUCACUGCCGUCAACCAAUCCCUCUACAACAAAAACACAUCGAUGCUGUUCAAUAAAUUCAAGGAGAUGUACUACAACUCCUCCUCAGACGUUCAAGAAGUCCCACUCUCAUCCCUCAUCUAUCCCAAAAACCCAGCAGGGAUCGCAAAUAACUCGAACUUGAUAUCCUUCGGGCUUCUGGCCAUAGAUCUCUUCCUCCUGCACAACGUUCAGCAGAUCGCGUGGAACGAGGAGAACGAUAUCCGGGUGGAGAUGCUGAAGGACCCGGAUAUAAUGGCGCUCAACGCCCUGUUCCUGCCGCCCGAGAAGAUCCUCCAGAUGAAGAACCCCAACUCGAGGUUCUUCACCGAGCAAGAGGACGAGUCCAAGCAUGGCGCGCUCCACGAGCUGAUGGAGUUCGUCAACGGGGGCCUGAGGGCGGUGCUGAACCUGGGGAAGGCUUACCGGAGCUCCACGCGCGGGGUCGCCAGGAGCAACGGCGUCAACACGCUCGAUUGUAUCUGGACCCUCUACUGCCGGAACCUGGACAAGACGGCCAAGCUCAACGGGCCGUACGGCUUCCUCGCCAAGAUGAACAGCCUGGGUCUGCGGCUCAUGAUGGGCGAGUUCCCGGUUGAGCGAGCCUUCGAAAAUCUCAUCAGAGAAUCCACGCGAGGAUGGAGAGAGUUAGACUGCCAAAAAUUAUUCCCAAGGUGUGACGCAGAAGAGGCAAAGGAGGUAGUGAUCCAGACAGCUCUUGGUCAGAAUGUCCCGAAGUAGACAUUUGAAACGCGCCCUUUAAAGGCCUUAUUGCAACAAAAUGCAUGAGCAUAAUGAGGAGACAUCUACUUUUGAAAUUUCUUAAAAAUGCGUGUUCAGGUGAAAAAAGAUCACACGGGUUCUUUUUUUUCGAAAUUGUGGAUGUAGAUGGUUUCCUUUUGUGUAAAAGCCAACGUGCCUUUCAGACACUGUGUCGGCACUAAGCUGGAGGCAGAGUCAAAAAUUCUCGCCUUGAAUCAGCGCAGAACCCGGUUGAGCUUGAGUUAAGAGCUCGAAAUUUAUGCAAAAUGCAUCAGUUCCUAGAUUUUGCUAAUAUUCAAGUUAGAAGUUCUAGAAGUUUAGCGAGGGAGGGAUAAGAUUUUUUUCGAUUUUGCAUUUCGAAUGGGUGGCUGAAAAAGCAUUCUGAUGAAGGUCCCAAUCAGUGAUCAGUAUUUUAUUUUGACAAGGGUCAACUUCUGCGUUUGGGAAAAUGUUGUUGGGUUUUUGUGCGGUUCGUUUUUGAGAGACUCUGAUUUUAAAAUCAGCACAAACUAUGGAACGCUGGAACAACUACUUAAAAGUAUUCCCCGAAGUGUGUUCCAACCUCGAGGAAGACUUUUUUGCUAGCAGAACGUCCCACCGGAUGAAUUUGCAAGUGUGAAGUUUUCCACGGUUCAUUGGCGGGUCCAGAAAUUUGGCAACGUAGUUUUUUCCUCAUUUAAACACAUGAAAAUGUAUCGAUUCUAGGAGGGGCCAGGUGCUUCGACAAGAAUCGAUUAUUCAACACAGGUUUAAAUGGAGGAACUCGGCGAUGUCAAAUUACUGAAUCCGCCUCCGGUGAUUUUAAAACAGAUUUGAGCUGUUUAUCUUAGUGGCGCUCUGUAUUGUUAGCCAGCCAUCCUACUAAAAUUCUACAACUUUGAGUAUUACGUAAAUCUAUGGACCUGUGUUUUGUUGAGAAUGAAACGUCGAAAAAGUUUAUGAGAAUUCCUUAAUUUUUUUCAGAGAUUAGGAGUGUUCAAAGUUGCUCUGUAAAUUUUAUGAUGCAAUUUGAAUGCACCCGCACCCAAAGUGGGCCAAAUAUGCCAAAGAUUAUUUGUAAUUUUGAUAGCUACAUGCGCAAACUGAGUGCGUGACUGUUUUGUAGGAGCUAAUUAUUGAACGAAUCAAGCUGUGUAAGGUGAUAAUUGAUUUUGAUUGGAUUUCCAUUGCGUGUACAUGUAAAUUAACGGAACAAAGACUUUUGUACUUUUGUGUCGCAAAUUAAAGCAAUGGAGCUCCCGGAUCAAAUGGUAUUCCAGUGUGAAAUUUGUAUUUUUUGGCACAGAGAGGUGUAGUUAACACAGAAUACUUGAAAUACAGCUUUAUACAAUUUUUAAUGCUUUUUUGAAGGCAAAAUUUAAAAACCUUGGUCGUAUUACAUGGAAAAGUUAAUGCGACCCUAAAAAGGAAGAGGCAAUCGUGGUGUUAAAGGCUAUUUUAUUCGGCAACCUCAUCGUACAGUUGAAUUACAUUUUGCAACAAGGAACCACUAAUCACUAUCCCUGGCUCUCUCAUAAAAGCACAUAUCUGCAAAAGGAAACCAAUCGCAUCUAUGCUGUUUCUAAAAAGGACCAGAAAUAGUGGUUUCUUAUUGCCAAAUGCAACCCAUUUCAUCCAUCGAAUACAAAGUAAUCCACACUUCAUCGAUGGCGAUAUAGUCGAAAAGUGCGUACCUCCAACUGCAAAGUUUAGAUCGUCCAGCCAUGUUUCAUUUUCUUUAGAAGAAAACCAACCAUUAGUUUUUCCUUGAAACUGUCUGUGAAUAAUUGCCACUGAUUCCAGGAUAUCCACAGAAAGUUUCAAGCGGAUAUUUUGCUUAGCUUCUUCCAAAGAAAAAGCACAUAAGCGCAUAAAGCGGAGAAGUGUAAACGAUGGAACGGAGACACGCGCUUUCCGACCUCAGCCUUGAAAACUGUCAACUGUCUACUUCAAACUUCCAACUGUCCUUGGGAUGAACAAUAGUGUUUCCCUACAUAUUUCAAUAGGUGUUGUGAUUGGUUUAUUCGAUGACUCGGACCAAUCAUAGCACUUGACCUCGACAUUUUGACAGAGGGCCAGACACAUCGAUUGACAGACUGACAUAUACGACCCUCUGAGGGGACCCUCUAGACAGAUAAGAUAUUACUUAAAGCGCAACGCUAUUUGUUUUCACUUCAAAAUUCUACAAUUAAUUGACCAAUCCAAUUGGACUCGAUCCACUGUGCGCCGUUCAGGAGAACCUUGACUAAAACGAUACUUUCACGGGGCAACACUACAAGAAACCACCCGGACUUUUUCUUCAAAGGGUUUUCGUCCGCACAUACGCUUUUAUGAAGGGCGCAUAUUUGCUUGCACAGCGGAAAAGUGCGCCAGGAGGGAAAUCCGAAGAGAGGUUUUUCAACUUCCAAAAGAGCAAGGAGCAAGGGAUGGAAGAUGAGAGGGGGCGGGGGGCAAGAUAAGCAAUGGAUGUGUAGAGGUACCCGGCUCGCUUUUAAGACGUUACUUCGUCGUCCUCCCGACGAAAAGACGUAACCGCAAGUCGAGAUGAGCUUUGGUGUCCGUAUAACUUCAUGCUUCCCAUGGCUCACGCUGACUUCGAGUUAGGUCGUUUCGUCGGAGGAGCGACGACUUGUUAUUCCUCCCCGCUCCCUUGGGUGGGUUGCGAUGAUAAAGCGGCAAGUGAUAUAUGCGCGAAAGUUGGUAGCAAUGCGGCACGCUUCGUGGAGGGUUGAGAGGUGGAGGGGGAGUGCUAGGAGUCUUGGGUUAGACAAACAUUCGUAUCCUGAGUGCAUAUUUUGGGGGCGAGUUUGUCGGGUGGCUCAUAGAAUUCGUCGAUUUUGUGUAGAAUAUUGAACAUUUUUCUAAGAGAAAAAGAAGAAGAAAAAAUAAGGAUUAUCACAAUACGAGAAGCGUCCUCCCAGCGCGAAGAAGAGAGACGCGAUCAAGUCAGAAUGAGAAUGAAUCAUUCAGAUUUUGUCAAAACUGGGUGAAAAAAUAGGAUCAGUUUUAUUCCAAGGAAUAAUGUACAUUUAACUCUUUCGAUUUCUGAUUUUUUGAUGCUGAAUGAAAUUCAUACUAUGGCAUCUUCCCGUAACUCCGGGGAAAAAAUAUUUUCGAAGAGGAAAAAUAGAAAAAUUUUUGAGAAAAAAAUUAUUUUUCUAAGGAAUUAAAAUGCUUCUCCAGACAAAUUUUUUCCACGAAGAAAAAUGUUUUCUACAAUAAAUUGUUUUUCAUAAUUUUUUUCUCUUAAACAUUUUUUUUCCUCCAAGAAAAUAUUUUCCCCCAGGGUUACGGAAAUGAUGUCAUAUAUACCUCAUGGAAUGUUAACACUAACGAUUGCCUCGACUCUUCGGAAAAUUUGAAAUACAUCAGGAUGGUCAUAUUUGAUUUUGUAUUUGUUAGAAAAUAAUUGUUGAAAUUUUUUAUUUUUAUAUUUUAAACUGUACAGUAUUUAUUUAUUUUGUAUUAUAAUAUACAUUAAAUUUAGUAAUAGUUCCAUUAGUCUUCUUUUAUUUCCCAGUCAUGUUCCUUCCGGAGUCAUCUAGCGUCUGCAUACUUUUAUGCCUAAAAAUAGCCUAAAAUAAUAAUCUCUUAGAAAAACAAGGAGGAAAAACGAGAGACAAGGCUAAAAUACACACACCAAAAAAACCGAGACGUUUCGACUCAAAACUAAGUCAUUUUCUGUCGGAAAUGCAAUACAAAUUUUAAAAAAACGAUGAAAACUUGAGCCUGGCCACCACCGUGGAGGGUAGGGCUCAGGUUUUCAUGGUUUUUUUAAAGUUUUUAAUGUAUUUCCGACUGAAAAUGACUCAGUUUAAGUCGGAACGUCUCGGGUUUUUUUUUUAUUUUAUUUUUAUUUUUUAAAUUGUGUAUUUUAGCCUUGUUUCCCGUUUUCCCCCUUGUUUUUCUCCUGUUACAAUUGUUUUGAGCUGCUCUAUAAACUGUGUAUCUAAUAAUUUCUUGUUGUCACCUAUCUCUUUCACCUCUCUUCAACGUUUCUAUGUUAGGUACCCUCGUCUGUCA
rnacentral:lncRNA from 1 species